rnacentral:rRNA from 1 species
ACGGAACAGGCAAGCGUUGUUCGGAAUCACUGGGCUUAAAGCGCGUGUAGGCGGCCUGGUAAGUACCUUGUGAAAUCCCCCGUCUCAACCGGGGCACUGCUUGGUAUACUGCCGGGCUCGAGGUGGGUAGGGGUGCCUGGAACUCUAGGUGGGGCGGUGACUUGCGUAUACAUGUAGAGGAACGGCGGUGGCGAGAGCAGGACACGGUGCGUUACCUGACGCUGAGGCGCGUAAGCGUGGGUAGGAAAGGG